AGCAGAACUCAAAUGUGCUUGAUUGAUGUCACUUGUAGUAGCAGCGAAGCGGAACCUCGCCAAACCAAAAUCACCAAUACGAGCAACAAAAUCCUGAUCAAGAAGAACAUUACUUGGCUUUAGGUCGCAAUGAAUAAUACUAUCAUGGGCGUGAUGAUGUAGGUAAUCCACUCCUAGAGCAACAUCAAUGGAAAUACUUAGUCUUUGAAGUAGAGUCAAGUAUCUUUCAUUCCCUUGAUCAGGACUUGGAUGCAACCACUUGUCCACACUCCCAUUAGUCAUAAACUCAAAAACCAAUGCCUUAAAGUCAUUUCCCUUAAAAUCAAUGCUAGAGCAUGCUGUGAUGAUCUUGAUAAGAUUCCGAUGACGAAUGUGCCUCAAUGUUUCACAUUCUGCCAGAAAAGUCUUGUUGGCUCCAUGUGUUUUAAUGUUUAGCACCUUCACCGCGAGUACGUGUUCCACCGAGUCGAGAACUCCUUUGUAAACGGAACCGUAUGUUCCUUCACCGAGCAAAUUAUUUGGAGAAAAUUCAUUUGUGGCUCGUAGAAGGGCUUGGUAAGAAAGUUUGGGGUAUUGAUCAUCCUUCAAUCCUGGGACAGGGUCAUUAAACUUCUUGGAGUUUCUACGAUUAUAGUAAAUCAACGCAAGACAUGCUAACAACAUUCCGAGGGGUACAAGAACUAGGAGUAGUAUUACUCUCUGGGAAAAUGCUCUUUUCUUUUUCCUGGAGACUUUUUCAGGACAAGCAGGUAACUGCAAUGCUUGAAUACCUCCACAGAGCUCCGAAUUUCCAAUAACGGAAAAGGCACUAACUUUUGAAAACAGACCUUCUUUCGAAACUUCACCUACAAGCUUGUUGUGCGACAGGUUGAGGAACACAAUUUGACGAAACUCAUCAAAAAAGCUUGGGAUACUCCCAUUAAUAUCAUUGUUUGAAAGAUCUAGCAAUACAAGACUUCUCAAAGCUUUGAAAGAAGACGGAAUUUUACCUUGAAAAAGGUUUCCUUCCACAUUUAAAAUCUCCAACAUUACACAAUCGCCCAAAGUAGCUGGUAUAUCUCCUCUUAGUUUGUUGUUUGAAACAUCUAGUUCAACCAAUUGUUUCAAGCUUCCAAUGUUGGAGGGAAGUGGACCGCUGAACAGAUUGUGGGACAAAUUAAGGUGAAUACAAUGGGAGAAAAGCACAACCUCCGCAGGUAUUACCCCUGUAAGUCUGUUGUUAGAAAGGAACACUUCCUCUAGAGUUGAGAUGUUAAACAAUUCAGAAGGUAUGCUUCCUUGGAGCACAUUAGCAUCUAAAUAGCGAGCAGCUAAUUGAGUAAUGUUGCUAAUGGAAGUUGGGAUUGUUCCUGCAAGACUGUUUCCAUACAAAGCUAGCCCACCUAACUUUGAUAGUCUUCCAAUUGAUUGUGGAAUUCUGCCCGUUAAGAAGUUUUCUCCUAAAUGAAGAUGUGUCAAGCUCACAAGUUUUCCAAUUUCAAGAGGUAUGUUUCCGUAUAUGUGGUUUCUAUACAAAUACAGGAAUUCCAUCGUGGUGGAGAGAUUUGCAAUGGACUUAGGUAGCUCCCCUCUUAAACUACACUCAGCUAAUUCCAACACCUUUAGAUGGGUACAAUUAACCAAGGAAUUGAAAAAUCUCCAGUCAUUGGGCCGCAUAUUCUCUCCAAGUGGAUUAACAGCCAGACUUAGGUGUUGAAGAUUAGGAAGGCUACCCAAAUUGUUCGGUAUAGGCCCAGUUAUAUUGUUAAGUGCCAGUUCAAAGAUAACAAGAUUGGAAGCAUUAGCUAUUGAAGGUGGAAGUGUGCCCGUAAAAGUGUUAUUUUCAGCAUAGAACUUUUGUAGUCUGGGGAGAAGGGUGAAGCCCAAAUCUGAUGGAAGCGUUCCUUCUAACAGAUUAUUGUCUAGAGCAAAAAUAGAGAGGGACGAAAAGUUGUAAAGUGGUAGGGGAACCAUACCCGACAACCUGUUUCCUGACAAACUAAGUCGCUCUAAUUUGGCAAGAUGAGACACUUCGAGAGGUAUUCCCCCAACUAGAUUAUUGUAACCUAAAAAGAGAUCACGAAGAGAUGAUAUAUUCCCUAUUGAAGGCGGAAUGGAUCCAUCAAUAUGAUUGUGUAUAACACUAAACUCAUCUAGCUUAGGCCAAGAAGAAAAAUCAGUGGGUAGUUUCCCUUUAAAAUUGUUACGACCCAGAUCAAGAAUACGAAGAGAUGAUAUAUUUCCUAUAGAUGGUGGAAUUGAUCCACUAAAUUCAUUGAUAUCUACAGCAAACAUAUAAAGUUUAGACCAAGAAGCAAAGUCAAUUGCUAAUUCUCCUUCAAGAUGGUUGUUUUCCAGAUCAAUAGUUCUUAUAUUUUUACAACCAUGCAAAUCAACAGGAAAACCACCUUGAAAGGAGUUGUUUGCCAGAGAAAGAUGUUGUAGGCGCAACAGUUGGCCAAUUUCACCGGGAAUGAAGCCAUGUAAGCUGUUUGCAUUGAGGGAAAUUGUCUUUAGAAACGAUAGGUUUCCAAUACGAGGAGACAAUGUACCCGCCAAGUUUAGUGAUGAGAGAUCGAUUUCUGUUACCCUCUGUCUUCUGCGACUGCAUGUAAUGCCUGUCCAAUGACAGAAGUUGAUGGAAUUGUUCCACGAGUCUAGCACACCCGAGGGGUCUUUACUUAUUGAAUGCUUUAAAGAAAGCAAAGCCUCUUGAUCAGUGAAAUUGUUUGAAAAUGAAUAUACGAAAGUUGUUGAGGUUCCCAACAGAAAAAAGAAGAGAAUGUAGAAUCGGAGAAAGUUGGAAAUCAUGGUUGUACAAUUAAGAAGAGAAAAUGCUGCAGGGUGUGAAGUAUUGGUAAUGAUCAUUACUUAUUAGUAUGUUUCUCAACUGCAACGUUGAGAGUGUGUUUAUCAAUCAGUGUUGUCUCCAGCAAACGACUCAAUAUGGUCAAGCAGGUCAGCCAGGACUCAGGAGUGGUGGAAAUCAAAUGGUUCCUGAGAAGUUAUCAGCUAAUUUUUUGAGUGGAGUUGUAUUUUCUGCAACUAAUUAGAAACUAAAUUAAAUUUAUUAUUAGAAUAUUACAUGAUCCUAAUAAACCCUCUUUCUAAUGAAACGGGUGUGCCAUAGAAAUAUCUCAAGUUAUUAUAUAUAAAUUUUGAUAAUCAAAAAUAUUAUUUAUGAUUAAAUUAAAAAAAAAUAUGACUCAUACUAAAAUUUUAAUUGUGGAUCCCAUAAAACCAAACUCACGUGGAAAUACAAACUUAAAUAAAUUAUUUUAAUAAAAUCUUUUCAUAUAUAAAUAUAAAUAUUUUUCGACUUUAAUAUUAUAUAUGAUCAUGCAUAUAUACCAUACGAGUAAUGGCAUAUUUAAGAAUGUAUGAAUAAAUAAUUCAAACAAACAUUACAUUUUAUUAUAAUAUUAGUAUAUAUUUUAUUUUAAAGAUAUUGUAACCGGAUAUGGAUAGUUUUUAAUUGUCGAUUGUACUUCUGUUUUUUUUAUAUGACGUUUCGACUUUUGACAAAUAAUUAUAGAUGUUUUGAAAAAAAAAAAUUAUUUGUAAUAAUUUGUUUUUUUGUGAAAUUUUUUUAUUAUAUAUUUUUAGUUAGAAAAAAUUAAUUUUAACUAUGGAAUCCAAAUUUACUUUAAUAGAUGUGCCACAUUUAUGGUCAAAAUAAAAUACCCAGGAGUAAUAAUCAAAGUUUUUGAAGGGGUACUGUUGUUGUGAUCAUGUAAAGAUUGGUUUGUUUUCUUCUUCAACCCAUGGCUCUUUUGGGCAUCUAUGUACCAAACAACUGCUGUGUUUCCCAGAGAUUUUAUUUCUAUAGUUGGUUUUCUGAUUAUUUUACUUGAUAAAUAAGUUGGAAAACAGCAAGCAAAAUUGUGGAAGAAAAUUCGAAACAUCGCUGUACAAUUAAUAGAAAUUUUAAGGAGUGGUAGCGCUGAUUGCAGAAUGCAGGGACAACUAAGAAAGCAAAAUUGUGGAAAAAAAUUCGAAACUUCGCUGUACAAUUAAUAGAAAUUUGAAGUAGUGGUAGUGCAGAUUGCAGAAUGCAGGGACAACUAAGAAAGUCCAGAGGAGUAGUUAUCAAUCAAUUACUGUAAUUUGUUUUGUCUCCAGCAAGCGACUUCAUAAGGUCAAGCAGGUUUAGCCAAGACCCGAGAUCGGUGGAAAUUAGUUGGUCCCUCAAAUUUUUAUGGUAUGUCCAUUGAUAGUGAGUAAUUGAAUUGGAAAAUGCUACAUAUUCCAAAAUAUCACCUCAAAAUUUUUUCCCAAAUAAUAUGGCAUACACUGAUUGGUUGCAUUUCUCCAAUAAUAAUGAGACCCCAUUGUAUAUUCAUUAAUCACCCAAUCAAAAUCUUUCACUUGUAUGCCACAUCAUUUGGUAAAACAUUUUGGGAAAAUUUUUGGAGUUUCUAGCAUUGCCCGAAUUGAAUUUUCCACACAUGUUUGUAAAACAGAAACUAUAUUAAAUUAAGUUUAUCAUGUUGGUUUUAUAUUUUUUUCAGUUAUAUCCAGUAUCUCAAUAAUUUUCAAUCCAAACUUUUUUGCUUAAUUUUUUCAAUAUCUUUUACAUAUCAACAGUGUUAUAAAAAAUCCAAAUUGAUUUUAAGCGGCGAGAGGACCUUCUACUUAAACAAGCGAAAUUUUAAAAGGAUAAGUAAGCAUACCAAUAAUAUAGACACACACACACAUUCAGGGUCCUCCUCCAAUAGAAACUACUAGAAUAGAAACCAAUGCGAUUAAGUAAAAUGAUUUGAGUUUUGGGAUCGGGGAUGUACCCCAAGAUGGGCCUAGACGGGGUCUAAGUGGGGCCUAGUAGGGCCGGGUCGAGCCUAGUGGGACCAUGACGUGGCCAAGUUUUGACUCUUUAAGACUGUCUGGGGCCUGUGAGGAGCCCUGGCGAGGCACUAGUGGGCCCGAGGUGGAUUGAGUGGGGGUGAGGGUGGGCCCUAGGCCCCUAGCUGGGUGAUGACAUACAGGGGCUUUGGGUGAUAACAUAUAGAGGGUGGGUAAGGUCAUUUAGGUAUAGUUUCUCUUGGUUUCCAUUUUAGUUUUAAUUUUAGUAGUUUCUAUUUGAGCAAUUGCAUAUAUAUAUAUANNAGAUUCAACAUAAGAUGGUUUUCCUUUAUAUGUGACUUGGUAGCACUCCAUAGCAUACCCUCUUAUAUGGAGUUACGUAGCACACCAUUAUAAAUAUAAACAUAUUAUAUAUUUUAUUAUAUUUUUUAUGAAAUAUAAUUGCAAAUUUUGAUUAUUAAACUGAAAACGAAGUUAUACAAUUUAUUUAUUCCAAAAAUCAUCUAAAAUUAUGCAAUAUCUCAACAUGAUUCUAUGACAGAAUAAUAAUCAUCCAGAAUUAUUCUGUUGUAGAAUCAGUUUCGAAAAUAUACUUUUUUUCAUCAAAUUUUAAGUGUUAAAUUACUUAAAAUAGAUAUAUUUUAUAGUAUUCUAUAUUACAAUCACGUUUUAUAUGUAUUUUAUAACAAAAUUUAUAAUAAAAUUAAUGAUUUAUAGUGGCGCACUAUGUAACUCCAUACAAGGAGUUCCUCUCUGGAAUGUUGGCCCACACACACACACACACAUCAGUGUUGUAAAAAGCGGAAAUCGGACUUAGUCGGUAAAGGCAUCGUCUAGCGAUUAAUUGGAUUAUCGGGGAUUAAUCGGAGUGAUUAAUCGGAUCAAUUUAAUAUUAUUUUUUAAAUUAGAUAAAUAUUAAUAUAUUUAUAUUUAUAUUUACAAUAGAUUUAUAAUCGUAUAAUUUUAUAAAUUAAAAAUUCAAUAAUUUUAUCCAAAAAAUAUCCAUUUUCUAAAUAUUUAGGUCAAUUCAUCCUGCAAGACAAUAGUAUAAUGUAUCUUAAAAUUAAUUUUUGAUUUUUAAAUUUCUUUUACUAUGAUUUUUAUUUUUUUAAACUUUCUGAUUUUUUACCGAUUUUUGCCGAUUUUUACCGUCUUGUGACCGAUUAAUCCCGUCUUUGACCGAUUUUUCUGGAAAAACGAUUUUUUCACCGAUUAACGCUUAAUCGAGACGGUGGCCAACCGAACAGCGAUUAAUCGGCGAUUAAUCCCGAUUAAUCGCCGACUUUUAGAACACUGAUAUUAUGCUUUAAUGAUGGAAGAGAAACUUUAAUAAUAAAAUAUUAAACAUGUAAUGAGAAUAAGGCACGUUGUUGGAGUUGAAGUCAGUAAAAUAAAUCCUAAAUAAUUAUCAUUGUGUUGAAUAUAUCUAAAAAGAUGUUUAAACUAUACCUCUGGGGUUUGGGUAGGGUCUAGAAACAUAAAUAUUAGUUAAAUAACAUGUUUACCUUAGUUUUUAGUUUUUACAUUUAAAAAUUGGUUUAUGUACUUCUCCACCACUAUUUUAAUCGAUGUUCAACAAAAUAUGAUAAAAAAAUGUUGAACUCAAGUUAUAUAUGUGUUGAACAAAAAAAGUUUUGCAACAAAAAAAUGUUGAAAAAAUAUUGAACUCAAGUUAUAUAUGCGUUGAACAAAAAAAGUUUGUAAGUUUGUAAGUUUGUACCAGAACCCUCCCCUAUAUAUAUAUAUAUAUAUAUAUAUACUGAGAUUCUAGAGAAAAUCCAAUUAUCGAGAAAACCAAGAAAAUUCUGUAUUAGUGGGAUAGAUCAUAUAAUUUACCUUUUUUAUAUCCAAAUACGAGAAAAUCUUGUACAGAAUCUUCAUUUAUGAUAUUUCCAAAAUGCAAUCUUUUAAGCAAUUAAUGUUUUUGAUUUAAUGUGUAUUGAUGUUAUAAAUACAUUCCAUAUACACCGGAUAUGAUUGAUAUCACUAAAUAUUACUCUAUAAUUUAGAAUACCAUGUGAAUACAAUACCUGAUGAACGGUGAUUAAGCGGAUUCUCGGUUUUCUUCAUAAGCGGAGUUUUCUUAGGAUCUCCCUAUAUGUAUAUAUAGUUAUAAAACUAAUGUAUUUAAAAUGAAAUUAUGUUGCCAUAAGAAUUUAAAUUAUGAUAUUUUUACAUUUUUUCUAUAUAAUGAUAGUUAUUGAUAAAAAAAUUAAUAUUUUAAAAUCAAAAAAUUAGCAAGUCAACAUCAUUUUCACCGUAGAUUCCGCUUAAUCUGUUCAAUAAUCCGCUUGAUUUUAAAAAAUUCUUAAUCAUGAGUUUAGUACAAAAUUAAAGCACUUUAUACCCCGAUUCCACUUAAUUAAACAGCCAUUUAAUGCGUUUUUUUUCGGGGAUAAUUCAUAUUUACAACACUUCAUAUUAGUACUGUUAUGGAGAUUCUCGUUUAAUACUGUUGCAAAUAAUUUUCUUCUACCUUAAAUUUCAAAUACGCGGUUACAUUUUCUUCAUACACGCCAAUUUUGACCUGCCAUCCUAAGAAAAUAGGAAAUGAUAGUAAUCUUAUCUGUUACUAUUAAGGGUUUGGCUAGUGUGUGCCCAUGGGCACAUGCUAAGUACUAACAUUUAUAAAAUUGGAGAGUUUUGAUUGGUGUGGUUGUUGCAACUACAGGGGGGUCCACCAUUAUUAAAGAAGCUAAGCCAAUAGAAAUCAUCCAAAUUCAUAAAUUUUGGUGCUUAGUGUGUGCCCAUGGGCACACCAUAGAAAAAUUGUACUAUUAAAGCCUUAAUAGAAAUUAGUUAGCAAUGCCGGUCGAUCAGUAUCACUGCUUUAAAACGCCUAUACAAAUAUCUUUCCUGAUGCUAUAGCCAUAAUAAAAGAUCGGAUUGGGCACACACUAACAGCCACUUUUUGAGUAGGUGGAUGACUUUCAUUGGCUAAAUCUCAUUAAUAAUCAUGGCUCCAUGCAUAUGCACAAAAAUCAUGAUCAAUAAAAACCCUCCACCUGGGCACACACUAGAAAGACCCAUAAAAGAUUAUGACGGAUUCUUCGUAACAGAAUCAGGAACUGCUAAAACUUUUCAUGUUGUUUCUGGUGCAUGAUUUCAUCUGCUCUUCCUGAGAUUCUAAGCUAAAAUUUGAUUAAGCGGUGUGCAAUGAUCAAAAAGUCCGAGACAAAAAGUAGCCCUCGCUUGUAGUAAGGUUUCUAUUCAUUUUGUCAAUCAAUAAGCAAGCUCCGUUGUGCAAUAGAUACACUUUGAGGCAUCACAUUGUUAAUUAACUUGACAGAAGAAAAAGUAAAUUAGACUUGCACAACAAGAAUAAACAAGCUCUAUUGUGCACCAAUGGGGUUGGCUAUAUUGAUUGAAAGUAGGUCAGACGGUCAGUAGGUGUACAGCUUGUUACCAGUCUUGAAAAUUAAAUAUUUAUCCAAUCAAACAGCACAAACAUCAUUCCAGUCUCUCGCAAACUAGCGGUGCUUUCAUAACUCUUCUAGUCUUCUUAUACUUCUAACCAGGGAGAAACAUUAACAUCAAGACCGUGUCUUCAGCUUUAAUAUCUACAAGCAGAAACUAGGGUCUACAAGCAGACCGUGUUACUUUUUGACAUGCUUUUUAACACUCAUUUAAAGUAUAUUUCCACAAUAUAUUUUUAUAAAAAAGAAAAUUUUAGAAAAAAAUUAUGAUACUAUACUUCAUAAAAGUCUCAAAAUGCGUGCAAACAGUGAACGUAAACAACCACGGGACAGAGGGAGUAAUAAAUACUAGUCAAUUAAGGUCAAUUACGCCCAAGAAUGCUUCUGAUGUGGAGUCCGACCUUGUCAGCCGUGCCAUAUAAACGGCUUUAGACAGGCUGGUGCCAAAAAAGGAACGGUAGCUGUGGUAGUGCAUCGACAAUCCACCAUAGAGUACAGUAGCUGUGGUGGUAAUAUGUGAAAUUAUACAUUAUGGACUAAAAAAUUCGAGUAUGCGAUGUGCAAUUUGCAGGCAUCAAAUGUGUUGUAAUUAGCUUCGAAAAAAAUUUAAGUAAAAUUAAGCAACACGUGACAGCAUAUUAUAAAAAGUAAACGAGAUGGUGAAUAUAAUAAGCCAUGUCUUCAAUACAAAAUCAGAUCCCAAUAUGCGGUAUCAAGAAUAGAAACAUAGGAAAAGCAGAGAUAUAGAGACAUGGGUUAAUGGCUGUGCUGCAGAAGUUUGUCUCUUGCUGCAUGUAGCUGCUUGAUCGCAAUACCAAUGUCAAUGCGCUCUUUGGGCAUUUCAACUGAACAUAGUAUCCCCACUUGAAAUAUUGAUGUCAGGCAUGCCUCUAAGAUAGCCUUGCUGUAUGAAUGAUUUGUUGUUAAACCAUGAUCUUCUUCAUCUAUUAUGAUCCAUGGAUCCACAAUGUUCAUAACCCUUUGUGGGAGUGCAUUCCUCACAUAGUCAUGAAGAUUAUUAUUAUUGUCCAGCAAUGCGCUGCUACAUGUAGGUCGUUUGCCUGUAAACAUUUCUAGUAGAAAGAUUCCGUAGCUAUAUACAUCUCCCUCUACAGAGAUCUCAGCACCCAUUCCAUACUCUGCACAACUAAAAGGUUAAGACAAUUGCCAAAAAAUGAUGCCUUAUAAAAUAUUUAUUGUUUACUACAGUAAUAUAUAGUGAUGGUAUAAAUAAAAGUGUUGAGCAGUAUUAAAUAUUAACAGGAAAAAAAAUCAUUUUAAAAGUCACCUGGAGGCACAUAUCCAAUUGUUCCGCGUACACCAGCAGAACUCAAAUGUGCUUGAUUGAUGUCACUUGUAGUAGCAGCAAAGCGGAACCUCGCCAAACCAAAAUCACUAAUACGAGCAACAAGAUCAUCAUCGAGAAGCACAUUACUUGGCUUUAGGUCGCAAUGAAUAAUACUAUCAUGGGUGUGAUGAUGUAGGUAAUCCACUCCAAGAGCAACAUCGAUGGAGAUACUUAGUCUUUGAAGUAGAGUCAAGUAUCUUUCAUUCCCUUGAUCAG
rnacentral:lncRNA from 1 species